rnacentral:rRNA from 2 species
GCUGACGAGUGGCGGACGGGUGAGUAAUGUCUGGGAAACUGCCUGAUGGAGGGGGAUAACUACUGGAAACGGUGGCUAAUACCGCAUAACGUCGCAAGACCAAAGAGGGGGACCUUCGGGCCUCUUGCCAUCAGAUGUGCCCAGAUGGGAUUAGCUUGUUGGUGAGGUAACGGCUCACCAAGGCGACGAUCCCUAGCUGGUCUGAGAGGAUGACCAGCCACACUGGAACUGAGACACGGUCCAGACUCCUACGGGAGGCAGCAGUGGGGAAUAUUGCACAAUGGGCGCAAGCCUGAUGCAGCCAUGCCGCGUGUAUGAAGAAGGCCUUCGGGUUGUAAAGUACUUUCAGCGGGGAGGAAGGUGUUGCGGUUAAUAACCGCAGCAAUUGACGUUACCCGCAGAAGAAGCACCGGCUAACUCCGUGCCAGCAGCCGCGGUAAUACGGAGGGUGCAAGCGUUAAUCGGAAUUACUGGGCGUAAAGCGCACGCAGGCGGUCUGUCAAGUCGGAUGUGAAAUCCCCGGGCUCAACCUGGGAACUGCAUUCGAAACUGGCAGGCUUGAGUCUUGUAGAGGGGGGUAGAAUUCCAGGUGUAGCGGUGAAAUGCGUAGAGAUCUGGAGGAAUACCGGUGGCGAAGGCGGCCCCCUGGACAAAGACUGACGCUCAGGUGCGAAAGCGUGGGGAGCAAACAGGAUUAGAUACCCUGGUAGUCCACGCCGUAAACGAUGUCUACUUGGAGGUUGUGCCCUUGAGGCGUGGCUUCCGGAGCUAACGCGUUAAGUAGACCGCCUGGGGAGUACGGCCGCAAGGUUAAAACUCAAAUGAAUUGACGGGGGCCCGCACAAGCGGUGGAGCAUGUGGUUUAAUUCGAUGCAACGCGAAGAACCUUACCUGGUCUUGACAUCCACAGAACUUUCCAGAGAUGGAUUGGUGCCUUCGGGAACUGUGAGACAGGUGCUGCAUGGCUGUCGUCAGCUCGUGUUGUGAAAUGUUGGGUUAAGUCCCGCAACGAGCGCAACCCUUAUCCUUUGUUGCCAGCGAUUAGGUCGGGAACUCAAAGGAGACUGCCAGUGAUAAACUGGAGGAAGGUGGGGAUGACGUCAAGUCAUCAUGGCCCUUACGACCAGGGCUACACACGUGCUACAAUGGCGCAUACAAAGAGAAGCGACCUCGCGAGAGCAAGCGGACCUCAUAAAGUGCGUCGUAGUCCGGAUUGGAGUCUGCAACUCGACUCCAUGAAGUCGGAAUCGCUAGUAAUCGUGGAUCAGAAUGCCACGGUGAAUACGUUCCCGGGCCUUGUACACACCGCCCGUCACACCAUGGGAGUGGGUUGCAAAAGAAGUAGGUAGCUUAACCUUCGGGAGGGCGCUUACCACUUUGUGAUUCAUGACUGGGGUGAAGUCGUAACAAGGUAACCGUAGGGGAACCUGCGGUUGGAUCACCUCCUUACCUUAAAGAA